GCUUACUGGUAGCUUAAAAUAUAAAGCGUAGUGUUGAAGCCACUAAGAAAGUUCUACUCCUAAGCA
rnacentral:tRNA from 1 species